UACGUAGGGCGCAAGCGUUAUCCGGAAUUAUUGGGCGUAAAGAGCUCGUAGGCGGUUUGUCGCGUCUGCCGUGAAAGUCCGGGGCUCAACUCCGGAUCUGCGGUGGGUACGGGCAGACUAGAGUGAUGUAGGGGGAGACUGGAAUUCCUGGUGUAGCGGUGAAAUGCGCAGAUAUCAGGAGGAACACCGAUGGCGAAGGCAGGUCUCUGGGCAUUAACUGACGCUGAGGAGCGAAAGCAUGGGGAGCGAACGGG
rnacentral:rRNA from 1 species